CCCUAAACUUAGAUAUUUCAAAUACAAAAAUAUCCGCCAGAAAACUACGAGCAAAAUGCUUAAAACUCCAAGGACUUGGCGGUACUUCAUAUCCCCCUAGAGGAGCCUGUUCUAUAAUCGAUAAUCCACGUUAAACCUCACCAUCUUUUGCCAACCCAGCCUAUAUACCACCGUCACAGCCUACCCUGUGAGAGCAAAAAAGUAAGCUAAACAGUUCAAACAACUAGCAAGUCAGGUCAAGGUGUAGCCAAUUAAGAUGGAAGAAAUGGGCUACAUUUUCUACAAUAGAAAUACCCACGAAACAGAACCGUGAAAUAUGGUCUAAACAAGCAGGAUUUAGUAGUAAACUGAGAACAGAGAGCUCAAUUUAAAACGGACCUGAAGUACGC
rnacentral:rRNA from 1 species